CGCUGUAGGACUCCCCGUAGAAG
rnacentral:miRNA from 1 species